AUUGAACGCUGGCGGAAUGCUUUACACAUGCAAGUCGAACGGCAGCACGGACUUCGGUCUGGUGGCGAGUGGCGAACGGGUGAGUAAUACAUCGGAACGUGCCCAAUCGUGGGGGAUAACGUAGCGAAAGCUACGCUAAUACCGCAUACGAUCUAAGGAUGAAAGCGGGGGAUCGCAAGACCUUGCGCGAUUGGAGCGGCCGAUGGCAGAUUAGGUAGUUGGUAGGGUAAAGGCCUACCAAGCCGACGAUCUGUAGCUGGUCUGAGAGGAUGAUCAGCCAGACUGGGAGUGAGACACGGACCAGACUCCUACGGGAGGCAGCAGUGGGGACUUUUGGACAAUGGACGCAAGUCUGAUCCAGCCAUUCCGCGUGCAGGAUGAAGGCCCUCGGGUUGUAAACUGCUUUUGUACAGAACGAAAAGGCUCUGGUUAAUACCUAGGGCUCAUGACGGUACUGUAAGAAUAAGCACCGGCUAACUACGUGCCAGCCGCCGCGGUAA
rnacentral:rRNA from 1 species